GACGAACGCUGGCGGCGUGCUUAACACAUGCAAGUCGAACGGAAAGGCCCUGCUUUUGUGGGGUGCUCGAGUGGCGAACGGGUGAGUAACACGUGAGUAACCUGCCCUUGACUUUGGGAUAACUUCAGGAAACUGGGGCUAAUACCGGAUAGGAGCUCCUGCUGCAUGGUGGGGGUUGGAAAGUUUCGGCGGUUGGGGAUGGACUCGCGGCUUAUCAGUUUGUUGGUGGGGUAGUGGCUUACCAAGGCUUUGACGGGUAGCCGGCCUGAGAGGGUGACCGGCCACAGUGGGACUGAGAUACGGCCCAGACUCCUACGGGAGGCAGCAGUGGGGAAUAUUGCACAAUGGGCGGAAGCCGUGUGCAGCAACGCCGCGUGCGAGAUGACGGCCUUCGGGUUGUAAACCGCUUUCGCCUGUGACGAAGCGUGAGUGACGGUAAUGGGUAAAGAAGCACCGGCUAACUACGUG
rnacentral:rRNA from 1 species